UCAGCUUUGGGGCCACAGACGGCAGGACGCCAUCAUGUCCACCAUGGCCUGGUCCCCUCUGCUCCUCACCCUGGUCACUCUCUGCACAGGAUCCUGGGCCCAGGCUGUGCUGACUCAGCCGUCCUCCGUGUCCCGGUCCCCGGGCCAGAGGGUCUUCAUCACCUGCUCUGGAAGCAGCAGCAACGUUGGAACUGGCAAUUAUGUAGGCUGGUACCAACAGGUCCCAGGAUCAGCCCCCAAACUCCUCAUCUAUGGUGCAACCAGUCGAGCCUCGGGGGUCCCCGACCGAUUCUCCGGCUCCAGGUCUGGGAACACAGCCACCCUGACCAUCAGCUCGCUCCAGGCUGAGGAUGAGGCGGAUUAUUACUGUUCAUCUUAUCAGAGUGGUUACAGUUAUAGCACAGUGCUCCAGGCCAGGGGGAAGUGA